AAUUCUCAAAGCCCAGUCGGUUUUACAUCGAUCUGGGACUUUGGACUGUGAGGGUUGCUGGUCUUUGGAUCAGACUCCCUUUAAAUACAUUAGUGGUUACCGAUCCGCUUCCACUUGGUGUGAUAGUCUAUCUACGCCUUUGGAAUGAUCAGUUGUGAUCCGCUUUCGAACCGUCUGACCUUUUCGUCGGACAGCUCUUUGACA
rnacentral:misc_RNA from 1 species